UACAGAGGUGGCAAGCGUUGUUCGGAAUUACUGGGCGUAAAGGGCGCGUAGGCGGCCUUGUAAGUCCUGUGUGAAAUCCCCCGGCUCAACUGGGGAACUGCACAGGAGACUGCUUGGCUUGAGUUCGGGAGAGGGAAGCGGAAUUCCGGGUGUAGCGGUGAAAUGCGUAGAUAUCCGGAGGAACACCGGUGGCGAAGGCGGCUUCCUGGUCCGGAUCUGACGCUGAGGCGCGAAAGCGUGGGGAGCAAACAGG
rnacentral:rRNA from 1 species